UGCGGAGAAGCUGCUGGUGACGUCGAUGAGGAGUUUGUCAGUGUCGUUCCAGGGAGAAUCGAUCUCGGUACCAGUGAGUAAGGCGAAGACUGCGUCGACAGCGGGAGGUGUGGGGACUCCGGGCGGUGGUUUGAGGAAAGCUACGACGGAGAGGAGGAAGCUCACGCCAGUAAGGGACCCGCGGAAGAGGCAGAAUUCGAGGCCAAGUGAACAGCAGCAGCAGCGCUGGCCGGGGAGAUCAAGGAGAGACAAUUCGAGUUUAUUGACUCAAAGUUUAGAUUACGGCGCGGAGAGAUCGAAAUUCAAUGGAUCUGGGAUUGCAAUUCAAAAAUUGACGAAAUCUAUGCUUGAUGAAAAUAGUAGAAACGAGUUUGGUGUUACAUUGAAGCCUGAGAGUUAUAAUUCUGAGGUUAAAAUGACUAAUAAAAUGGAAAUUAGAUCGAAUCUAGCUAUUCCGGUGAAUUCAGAUACUAAGACCGUUUCAUCAGAGGGUAUUGAGACUGGAAGUGUGAAUGAAUUAAGAGGAGGGCAACGGGGGAUUGUUGUGCCUGCGAGAGUUUGGCAAGAGUCGAAUAGGAUACAUAAAGUACCAGACCCGUCUUCACCGAGGUCAAAAGUUAUUGGAUUGAAUAGAACUACAGGUCCUCCAAAAGUAAUUGGUGCAAAAAAAAUUUUGAAUGAGAAUCCUGUAUCAUCUCCUAGGGGUUUAUCACCACUUCGAGGGGGGCUGAGACCAGCAUCACCGAGCAAGUUGUCUACUUCUACUCCUUUAAGGGCGAUCAAUAGUCCGACGAGAAUAAGAAAUGUAGCAAGGAACGUGUCGAGUGAUAAUAAUGUGAGCAGUAUGUUGUCAAUGAUGAGCUUUGUCACUGAUGCGAGGAAAGGAAAGUUGGGGGAGAGUCGGAUUGUUGAUGCACAUGACCUGAGGCUACUGUAUAACCGGCAGUUGCAGUGGCAAUUUGUGAAUGCAAGAGCUGAGAAAUCGCUGUUAGUACAGGAAGAAAUUGCGAAGAGAAGUCUAUAUAAUGCAUGGAUAUCUACUACCAAAUUGCGGCAUUCUGUCAAGUCCAAGAGAAUUGAAUUACAAUUGUUGAGACAUAAUCUGAAGCUAUAUUCCAUCCUAAAGGGAGAGGAACCAUAUUUACAAAAUUGGGAUCUAAUUGAUGUUGAUCACAACAAUACAGUAUCUAGUGCUAAAGAGGCAUUAGAAACCAGCAUUAUAAGCCUUCCUGUUGUUAGUGGUGCAAGGGCUAAUGUGCAAAAUGUAGAAGAGGCCAUUUCUUCAGCUGUUGAUGUGAUGCAAGCAAUGGCAUCUUCAAUAUGCUCUUUGUCAACUAAGUGUCCACUGGUGGAUUCAAGAAUUGGUGAUAACCGAUAAUGUGAUUCUCAUCAAGGAUAAAACCACAGGUUUAAAAACAGGGGCGCCUAUUUUUAACCCUGUUGGGACAGGGAGCAAGGUUCUCUGAUCAAAGGGAAAAACAGUGUAUUAAAUUGAAUAUAUAUUUUGGAUGCUGUUAACUAGAACUGAGAUCGAUGGAUUUUUAUUUUUUUCCCCUCUUUUUUGAGGUAAUGGAACCCUACUAACUGCUUUACUAUCCAUUUAACCCUUUUGUUUUAUUUCUAUUGAAUUAUUUACACCCACAGGUUGAGCAAAUGAACUUUUUGGUUUCUGAACUUGCAAACUUUAGUGCUAGAGAGCACAGUUCACUUGAUGAAUGCAAAGAUAGGUUGUCAACUAGAUUCAUACCCUUGCAGGUGAUACAUUGUAGCCUGAGGACCCAAUUAUUACAAUUACGUGUACAUGCGAGCUCGACAGAGAAAUUGUAAUGGUUGUCCCAUUUUUACUGCUUACCUGAAAUACUAACAUCUUCAAUAGCUGCUAGUUUGUUUCCAGCACCAAGAAAGAGCUGAUGUAAAAAUAUUUCAUACUUGUUUUGGGUCGAAAUGCCAUAGAAUGGCCAGCCUCCUUAAGGAUUCACAGAAAGCAACUCCAUAAUGUAUUUUUUAUGCAAAUAUGGUAGGAAGUCUUCUUUCUUAACAGAAAAUUUAGAUUGUAUAUAGGGCUUAUUUCUAUUGUUUCUGUUACAUGUGAACUCUUGUAGUAAUAUUUCCAAGUUUCAUCAUAAUUGUUCUGUGCAAAGUAUUAUCUGGUCUUGGAUUGUGUUAUAAGGCUUGUUGUAUAGGAGAGUGAUACUUGAAAAAUUAUA